ACGGGAGGCAGCAGUGGGGAAUAUUGUACAAUGGGCGCAAGCCUGAUGUAGCAACGCCGCGUGAGGGAGGACGGUUUUCGGAUUGUAAACCUCUGUUCUUAGUGACGAAGAAGUGACGGUAGCUAAGGAGCGAGCCACGGCUAACUACGUGCCAGCAGCCGCGGUAAUACGUAGGUGGCAAGCGUUAUCCGGAAUUACUGGGCGUAAAGGGAGCGCAGGCGGGAUAGCAAGUCAGCGGUGAAAUGUAUGGGCUUAACCCAUGAACUGCCGUUGAAACUGUUAUUCUGGAGUGGAGUAGAGGCAGGCGGAAUUCCGAGUGUAGCGGUGAAAUGCGUAGAUAUUCGGAGGAACACCAGUGGCGAAGGCGGCCUGCUGGGCUCUAACUGACGCUGAGGCUCGAAAGUGUGGGGAGCAAACAGGAUUAGAUACCCUGGUA
rnacentral:rRNA from 1 species